GUCAGGAUAGCUCCAGUUGGUAGAGCAGAAGGACUGAAAAUC
rnacentral:tRNA from 1 species